rnacentral:rRNA from 1 species
UACGGAGGAUGCAAGCGUUAUCCGGAUUUAUUGGGCGUAAAGCGUCCGCAGGUGGCAAUGUAAGUCUGCUGUCAAAGCGUCUGGCUCAACCAGAUAAAGGCAGUGGAAACUACAUAGCUAGAGUAAGGUAGGGGUAGAGGGAAUUCCUGGUGUAGCGGUGAAAUGCGUAGAGAUCAGGAAGAACACCGGUGGCGAAAGCGCUCUGCUGGACCUUAACUGACACUGAGGGACGAAAGCUAGGGGAGCGAAUGGG